CAGGUGGUGCAUGGUUGUCGUCAGCUCGUGUCGUGAGAUGUUGGGUUAAGUCCCGCAACGAGCGCAACCCUCGACCUUAGUUGCCAGCAUUCAGUUGGGCACUCUAAGGUGACUGCCGGCUAAAAGUCGGAGGAAGGUGGGGAUGACGUCAAAUCAUCAUGCCCCUUAUGACCUGGGCUACACACGUGCUACAAUGGGCGGUACAAAGGGUCGCGAACCCGCGAGGGGGAGCCAAUCCCAAAAAGCCGCUCUCAGUUCGGAUUGCAGGCUGCAACUCGCCUGCAUGAAGCCGGAAUCGCUAGUAAUCGCGGAUCAGCAUGCCGCGGUGAGUACGUUCCCGGGCCUU
rnacentral:rRNA from 1 species